AUUGAACGCUGGCGGCAUGCCUUACACAUGCAAGUCGAACGGUAACGGGCCUUCGGGUGCCGACGAGUGGCGUACGGGUGAGUAAUACAUCGGAACGUGCCCGAUCGUGGGGGAUAACGAGGCGAAAGCUUUGCUAAUACCGCAUACGAUCUACGGAUGAAAGCAGGGGACCGCAAGGCCUUGCGCGGACGGAGCGGCCGAUGGCAGAUUAGGUAGUUGGUGGGAUAAAAGCUUACCAAGCCGACGAUCUGUAGCUGGUCUGAGAGGAUGAUCAGCCACACUGGGACUGAGACACGGCCCAGACUCCUACGGGAGGCAGCAGUGGGGAAUUUUGGACAAUGGGCGCAAGCCUGAUCCAGCCAUGCCGCGUGCAGGAUGAAGGCCUUCGGGUUGUAAACUGCUUUUGUACGGAACGAAAAGCCUUCUUUUAAUACAGGAGGGUCAUGACGGUACCGUAAGAAUAAGCACCGGCUAACUACGUG
rnacentral:rRNA from 1 species